AUACGAAGGGGGCAAGCGUUGUUCGGAAUAACUGGGCGUAAAGCGCACGUAGGCGGAAUGUUAAGUUAGAGGUGAAAUCCCAGGGCUCAACCCUGGAACGGCCUUUAAUACUGGCAAUCUAGAGACCGAGAGAGGUGGGUGGAAUUCCGAGUGUAGAGGUGAAAUUCGUAGAUAUUCGGAGGAACACCAGUGGCGAAGGCGGCUCACUGGCUCGGUACUGACGCUGAGGUGCGAAAGCGUGGGGAGCAAACAGGAUUAGAAACCCUAGUAGUCC
rnacentral:rRNA from 1 species